AUGUUGUUGCCAUGUCUCUCCAGCCCCCUGUAACCAAGAACAGUCCCCUGCCUUUGCUAUCUUAACAAUGAUAAUUUGAAGAGUGGAGGCCCCAUGUCCUGUAGAAUGCCUCUCAACUGAGAUUUGCCUGCUCAUUUCCUUAGACUUGGAUUCAGGUUAAACGUUUUGGCAAGAAGCUCCCUGGGUGAUGUGUAUCCUCCUUCUCUAUGCCUGCUGUCAGAAGUCACAGGAUGUUGGUUUGUUCUGUGACUGAUGAUACUGAAUGUCUUUCUUUUUUUUCUUUUUUUUUUUUUGAGAAGGAAUUUCACUCUUGUUGUCCAGGCUGGAAUGCAGUGGCAUGAUCUCAGCACACGACAACCUCCACCUCCUGGGUUCAAGUGAUUCUCCUGCUUCAGCCUCCUGAGUAGCUGGGAUUACAGAGUGCCUCGCAAGUGCAUUGUUGUAUUUCGAUGUUAUGACAACCCUCCAGGUUGGUGGCAUGCCUCCUUUGCAGCUGAGACAACUGGGGCUCAGAGAGAAUCCUUGGCUGCCUCAACCACAAGAACAAGGCUGUGCAGAAGGCUGAACCCGGAGCUUCCGCAAGAUGAGGUGGAGAAUGAGCUGACCCAGCUGGAAAGCAGUCUGCCGGUCCCUGGGAGAGACGACGCUUGGGCCAACCCCUCUUCCCCAAGGUGGUCCCCACCUCUCACCUCCACCCGCUUCCCCAGAUGAGCUUCUUCCUCUCCCUCCAGCAUUUCAGAGGAUCCACAGCUAUGUGUACUUGACCCUUGGCCUGGGCUAGUGCUGGGGACAUAGCCAGUCUGGCUGAUGUGGAGCCCAGGACAGAAAGCUGUCCUCACUUCAUGCACUAUUGCAUCGGUACCAACCAUUGGCUUUAUGAGGCCUCUGCGGCUAUCAUCUCAUUUACUUCAGGCAUAAGCCUAUAUCAGUUGGUGGGGGUGGAGGUUAAACUAAAGACAUCAAAGAUGCAUAGACCUAGUGGGCCUCUUCCAACUGUUAAAUAAAAUUUGCAAGAGACCAUUGGUUUAGACUGGG
rnacentral:lncRNA from 13 species